rnacentral:rRNA from 1 species
GAUGAACGCUGGCGGCGUGCCUAAUACAUGCAAGUCGAGCGAACAGACGAGGAGCUUGCUCCUCUGACGUUAGCGGCGGACGGGUGAGUAACACGUGGAUAACCUACCGAUAAAACUGGGAUAACUUCGGGAAACCGGAGCUAAUACCGGAUAAUAUAUUGAACCGCAUGGUUCAAUAUUGCAAGACGGUUUUGCUAUCACUUAUAGAUGGAUCCGCGCCGCAUUAGCUAGUUGGUAAGGUAACGGCUUACCAAGGCAACGAUGCGUAGCCGACCCGAGAGGGUGAUCGGCCACACUGGAACCGAGACACGGUCCAGACUCCUACGGGAGGCAGCCGCAGGGAAUCUUCCGAAAUGGGCGAAAGCCUGACGGAGCACCGCCGCGUGAGUGAUGAAGGUCUUCGGAUCGUAAAACUCUGUUAUUAGGGAAGAACAAAUGUGUAAGUAACUAUGCACGUCUUGACGGUACCUAAUCAGAAAGCCACGGCUAACUACGUG